GCGAAGCCCAGCUGCGCGCGCCUUGGGAUUGACUGUCCACGCUCGCCCGGCUCGUCCGACGCGCCCUCCGCCAGCCGCCAGACACAGCCGCACGCACUGCCGUGUUCUCCCUGCGGCUCGGACACAUAGUAUGACCAUUAGGUGUUUCGUCUCCCACCCAUUUUCUAUGGAAAACCAAGGGGAUCGGGCCAUGAUAGCCACUGGCAGCUUUGAAGAACGGGACACCUUUAGAGAAGCUUGAUCUUGGAGGCCUCACCGUGAGACCUUACAAAGCCAGCUCUGACCUGGACCCCUCAUCCCUGCCUGUCUUGUGGUGUAAGUGCGGAUCCCCCUAAGUUGGAGGAAAGGAAACUGGCCCAAACAAAAAGGAGAGUAGUUUUCUCUGCAUCACAUGCUCUCCAGAUGAACCACAGAAGCAGGAAUGUGGGCAUCAUCAGUGAAAUCUCUGCAUACAGCAGACAAAGGGCUGGUCCAGUGGCUGUUUAUGAGGCAGCGCUAGGAGAGCUCUGAUCCAGACUCUCCCUGCAGUGAAA
rnacentral:sRNA from 1 species